rnacentral:rRNA from 1 species
GACGAACGCUGGCGGCGUGCUUAACACAUGCAAGUCGAACGGAAAGGCCCUGCUUUUGUGGGGUGCUCGAGUGGCGAACGGGUGAGUAACACGUGAGUAACCUGCCCUUGACUUUGGGAUAACUUCAGGAAACUGGGGCUAAUACCGGAUAGGAGCUCCUGCUGCAUGGUGGGGGUUGGAAAGUUUCGGCGGUUGGGGAUGGACUCGCGGCUUAUCAGCUUGUUGGUGGGGUAGUGGCUUACCAAGGCUUUGACGGGUAGCCGGCCUGAGAGGGUGACCGGCCACAAUGGGACUGAGAUACGGCCCAGACUCCUACGGGAGGCAGCAGUGGGAAAUAUUGCACAAUGGGCGGAAGCCUGAUGCAGCAACGCCGCGUGCGGGAUGACGGCCUUCGGGUUGUAAACCGCUUUCGCCUGUGACGAAGCGUGAGUGACGGUAAUGGGUAAAGAAGCACCGGCUAACUACGUG